rnacentral:tRNA from 5 species
AGUAAGGUCAGCUAAUUUAAGCUUUUGGGCCCAUACCCCAAACAUGCAGGUUAAAAUCCUGCCUUUGCUA